rnacentral:rRNA from 1 species
GAUGAACGCUGGCGGCGUGCCUAAUACAUGCAAGUCGAGCGAAUGGAUUAAGAGCUUGCUCUUAUGAAGUUAGCGGCGGACGGGUGAGUAACACGUGGGUAACCUGCCCAUAAGACUGGGAUAACUCCGGGAAACCGGGGCUAAUACCGGAUAAUAUUUUGAACUGCAUGGUUCAAAAUUGAAAGGCGGCUUCGGCUGUCACUUAUGGAUGGACACGCGUCGCAUUAGCUAGUUGGUGAGGUAACGGCUCACCAAGGCAACGAUGCGUAGCCGACCGGAGAGGGUGAUCGGCCACACUGGGACUGAGACACGGCCCAGACUCCUACGGGAGGCAGCAGUAGGGAAUCUUCCGCAAUGGACGAAAGUCUGACGGAGCAACGCCGCGUGAGUGAUGAAGGCUUUCGGGUCGUAAAACUCUGUUGUUAGGGAAGAACAAGUGCUAGUUGAAUAAGCUGGCACCUUGACGGUACCUAACCAGAAAGCCACGGCUGACUACGUGCCAGCCGCCGCAGUAA